AUGGCACUGCUAUUUCUAGAAGACCAGGAUAAUACUUUCUUUCCAAAUCUGUUCUUGAAGGCUCUUGUCUCACUGAAAUUGCUUUUCCUGUCUCCACCAGCUGGACACUCAAACUACAUUAUCUCAAGAGGGCCUAUUUUAGUUUUGCUAUCCAUCAUCUGGAGGGAAAAAAAAAUGUGAGGAUUCAUCCCGAUCUAACAGUUUUGUGUGUCUGCUUCAGAGAGAUAGAGAGAGAGAGGCUAUACCUGGUGACAUGCCUCCUGCAUCGGUGUCACCCGCGAGUGACUUCUCCAGAAGACACUCUCCCACAGACUUGCUUGAGGGGCAGUGAAAUUUGUGUGCACAUAUAUGUUCUCUGCAAUACUGAUCCCAGAGAAUCACUUAUUCCAGGUACCCUUCUCAGGGCUUCUCAUAGAUUAGUGCCCUUAAGCCUCACAUUCCACCAAUGAAGUAACUGUGAUUGUGGUGUCUGAGGUGACCCAUGAAGUUGUGUGGCUGAGAUGGUAACCAGAUAUUCUGGCCUAAGGGUGAUUCAGUCUUAACUACUACAGUCUACUCCCUUGAUGGUGGUAGAUUUUUCUUAAAUUUUAUUUUUAAAUUUAAUAAUGUUUUUUCAUUUUUUAGUUUUAUCAAAGUAUAGUUGAUAUAAUGUCAUGAUUUCUGUGGUCAGCAGAGUGAUUCAGUUAUACAGAUACACACAUCCAUUCUUUUUCAGAUUCUUUUCAGUUUCUGUUUUUAGGUGUGGGUUGGUGGGAUAUCAUAUAUAUUGGGAAAAAAAAUGUUUGCAACUUUACUUUUAAAAUAUUAAUAAUCUAAGCCCAAUGGCCUCUGUUAAAAAAUAAAUGAUUCUUAUUUACUUCUAAGCAAAAUUUUAGGCUUAUAAUUGUAAUUCUACAUCUAAAGCUGUCCAAUAUUUGAAUCCCUGUUAGCAGAGCAGCUGUCUUUGCCUCAGUGUCUUAGAUGAGAUUUGCAAAGCUAACAGGUUUGUAUUCAUCAUGUUUUGGAAUUUUGUUUUGGGACUUUCAAGUGUUUGGGAUUCUCAGAAUGGCAGAUGCAUACAGUAACCCAUCCAUUGUGUCCGUUCAAGUGUCUGUCUGUAGCCCAUUCUCAUGAGACAGAAGGGAUGGAAGCUAAAACAACAGACUUGGGUUGAGCUUAAGGACUUGCUGAAGAAAUAAGGCUUUGCUUUGUGAGCAUAGCCCAAAAAGCUGAUAAAAGUAAUCUGUUCUCAAAGCAAGAAUUUCCAGUGACUUAGAAUCAAAGUAAUACAACAUCAUAUUCCUUCGAUAAAUUAUCAGCUAAGUGUGCAUAUGACACAAUAGUAGGAGUCUCUGAGACUCAGUUUGUUAUUAAAUACCUGUUUGGGGGAACAUCAUCCAUACACCACAGAAUUUCCAUUUCAAACUCGAGCCGGUUGAAGAGAAGCUCAAGAAAAUAAUAUUGGAGACAACAGCAUUUCUAUCUCAGCUCUGCUCUUUGCAAACUGAAGGCCAUUAAGGAAAAGUCACCAAAUAACAGUGGUCUUAUAGCUAAAAUAGGCAAGAUAAGAGCUCUAUGUUAGGGUUCUCUUGAAGAUUCAUUUUUUUAAAAAAAGUAUGAAAAGUGAUUUUAGUGCCAGGCCUCAUACACAGAGGACACUCAGCUAAUGACAGUUAAUCAAAGGAAAUCACUAUAUAGCUAAUACAAAAAUCUUUACUUUCAGGCUUAUCCUUAAAACUUGAGAGAGGGUGGCAGAAUUAGCUCCCUAAUUAAUUGGUGAGCUAGUACUAAUUCUGUAUAGAAGGACAAUACACAGAUGGUCGGAAAUCCAAAUAAUUCUCUACAGUGCUCCCCACUGGCACUCAGUGUGCCAAACAAAAACAACCCCCCCCCCACAAAGAGUUGAUGUCAACAGAAAGCCAGUUUGAACAAGACCAUUUUAUCUCUAAACUCAGCAUUUAGAGCUUUUUCAUGUGCCCAUCAGUACUGGUUAGAUUAGUUAGGGAAUAGAGAGGGAAUGAAGUCUUGGACCAUCCAGGGGAGAGGACAUUAGCAAAUUCUGGAGGGAGCCCAGGUUGAUCAGGUGCCAAGAAUGGGGCAGAGAGGUUCCUGGGAGGUGUUAAGUGUCAGGGUAUCAAGUGUCAAAGCUAAUUUUUUUUUCCCACUUUGGACUCAAAAUUAUACUAUAUUUGCUGGAGUUUGGGGGGGGGGUGUGUAGGUGGAACAACAACCCAAAUCAUCCUGGGUGCUAGGAAGAACCCCAUUUAGAACCACCCCCAUUCCCCCCACCCCAAAAGCAUAAAAGCAAAGAAAACCAGCAUUGCUCAUUUUUGUAUAAAUACUUUUGAAUAAUUAACUUUUUUUCCCAUGAAAAUUUGCCAGUGCUAAAGUCAAAGAAAAUCAGUGUAUAUUCUCUGAGAUGUUUAUUAAUUUUUAAAGUGGAAAAUUAUCAGCUAGAAUACCAAAGAAAGGGCUUUAGGUGUUUAAAUUUGUAAAUAGGCAGAUGUUUGUUGGGGGUGAGAUUGUUCAGGAAGAGAAUUCUAUUUCAGAAAAAAAAAAUCACUUUGGAUAUUAUCUUCAAAACUAUAGUUUAUCAUUUUAUUGUAAAGAGUGUUUUCCAAUAAUUUUUCUCAUGAAAUAAACACGUUUUCCUCCCACAGAAGUGAACUUGAAUCCCCAGGAACAGAGGUUUUCAAAACCUCGUAACUGGGUAUUUUUUAGCAGGACCUGAAGGGUUAAGCCUAAAGCUACCACUAGGUGUCACCUUGUGAUCGCUUUUAGAAACACAGGCGCCUCCCCUGGUUCCAAACAGGAAGAGGCAUCUUCUAGGUUAAUUUCAGCUACUGUUCAUUUUCCUUAAAUAGAGAUUCUUACUCGGCACAUGUCAAAUCUUUGGAAUCUUUGGCUUUGUCUUACAGGUAUUUGCAACCAUUUAAACUUUUCACCCCACCACGCAGACCUCGCAGGAGGUAGAUUUUGAACCCAGGGGAGCUUGAUGUAAUGGGGCCACGUUGUGGGGAAAGAAAGAUCUUAGUCUUGUAACCCUUGUAAAUCUCCUUUAGUCCCCCCCCCUUCUAGGAUACCUGAAAUUAACUUUCAUGUUGAGAAGUAAUCUUGCUCUUUUGGAAAAAACCUGCAGCAGGGAAGCAAUUGAUGGCUACCCCUAGAUAAGUUCCAUAUAUGGAAAUUCUGGAUUUUCCACUGAUUUUCUUCAUCACAUCUCCUCAAUUCUCCUCCCGCUUUCUGUGUGCUCCCUUCUCAGGACAUGUCCUCAGUAGUCUUUUCUUUGAGUCAUUUAGUCAACUUGAAAGAAGUUUUACAAAUUGAAUGGUCCACAUUAGAGUGUUAAAUCAUUCAACAAUUUGCAAAUUCCGGAAAUACUUUGUUUGAAAAGAAGAGAGUUGUGGUGGGAGGCGGUGGGUGAGGAGGUGUGUGGGGGGGGGGCGGCUAGGGGGUUUGACCACAGAGAAUAGCAAUUCAGUACAAUUAAACUAGGUGGUGAUGGAGGAAAGAGGAUGGUUUGAAUCCCAGGGCAUGGUGAUUACUCUGUUCUGGAAAUAUUUCACAUGGCUACCUAGAUAAAAUAAGCUUUGUCUCUAGGCACAGACUGAUAUUUAGUCAUGGCUGCUAAUACAGAUGGAAGCUUCUUUUUUCCCUUGGGAUUGGAUAGAUUAACUCCACCUGG
rnacentral:lncRNA from 1 species